CAGUAGCCGCGGUAAUACGUAGGUGGCAAGCGUUGUCCGGAAUUAUUGGGCGUAAAGCGCGCGCAGGCGGCCUAUCCAGUCUGUCUUAAAAGUUCGGGGCUCAACCCCGUGAUGGGAUGGAAACUAGUAGGCUAGAGUAUCGGAGAGGAAAGCGGAAUUCCUAGUGUAGCGGUGAAAUGCGUAGAUAUUAGGAAGAACACCAGUGGCGAAGGCGGCUUUCUGGACGAAAACUGACGCUGAGGCGCGAAAGCUAGGGGAGCGAACGGGAUUAGAUACCCGAGUAGUCCCUGUCUCUUAUACA
rnacentral:rRNA from 1 species